UACAGAGGGUGCAAGCGUUAAUCGGAAUUACUGGGCGUAAAGCGUGCGUAGACGGUUGCGUAAGUCAGACGUGAAAGCCCCGGGCUCAACCUGGGAAUUGCAUUUGAGACUGCGUAGCUAGGGUGCGGAAGAGGGAAGCGGAAUUUCCGGUGUAGCGGUGAAAUGCGUAGAUAUCGGAAGGAACACCAGUGGCGAAAGCGGCUUCCUGGUCCAGCACCGACGUUCAGGCACGAAAGCGUGGGGAGCAAACAGG
rnacentral:rRNA from 1 species